CUUAGGCUUAUGCAGCUUUCUUCAUGCAUUCUUCUGACGUCAACAUCUUCAUGAAAUCAGAUCAAUUUGGUCACUUCCAUAGUCAUUUUUUUUCAUGACUUUAUUCAAGGGUUCUUCACAACAUAAGUUUUCAUUUUUCAGUUUCAGCAACAAUAAGCUCAAUCCAAACAGACCCUCUAUCACUCUCAACACCAUUCGUUACCGCCGCCUCUCAUCGACGCCACCGCCACCUCCGAGAGCCGAUUGCCACCACCGCUGUGUCGAACCUCUCUGUCAGCCAUCAUAGGUCAAAGGGAAUUGUGAAAAGGAGUAGAGAACAGACUCGUGCAAUCUCGAGCGCUGUGAGAUGUGCUCUAAGCGAAGUUUAAUUAAAUUAGUUUUUAAUUCGUGUCCUCUAAUCUUCUCUAGGUUUUUGAUUAUUAUUUGGGUAAAAAUCAUACCUUUGAUUGAUUAUUUGGUGGGUAAUUACUUAAUCUAGCUAUCCAAAGCUAGUAGCCACUAUACUUUCUGUAUGUAUAAGCCUGAGUCAUGUAGCUUCUAAUCGAAUAGUGCUUCUAGACGAAGAGGGGAAGAGAUAACAAAAGAGACUAACCGAUGUUAGAGUUUAGAUAAAAAGGAAUUCUAUGUAGUUCAAUGAUGGUUCUUUAAAUAGUUUUUUUAAUUAUUUUUUUUCAAUUUAUAGUUUUUGACUUUUUGUUUUGAUUUUGGCCUCUUCAAUAUCUUGUUAGUUUUAUUUUAGAUCCUCAAAUACGUGGUUGAUUCAAUUUGGCUUUAAAAAAUGGGGUGUCAGGUUUUAUUAGUCACACUGGAGGAAUAAAAUUGAUUUUUUUUUUAAUUAAAAAACUUUAAACUAAAUUUUAAAGAAACUCAAGUAUUUUGGUAAAACUAUUUUGAUUCUAUUUCUUUUCUGCAAUUCAUUUUGUGGAAUUUUCUGAUAUUUAUUUAUGUUUAUCAUCCCCAAGUGAUGUUAUAUUUGCAUUGGCAAAGGAGGAGGACCACAUACCCUUUAGAAAUUCAAAGCUUACCAUAUUGUGGAUCCAUUACUCUGAUGGGAAAACAUAGCCUUAUCACAAAGCAUUAUAUUAAUCUGACAAGUCAUCAAAAUUGGUUGAAGGGUAUGUGACUCUCUUUUGGGAUGUGGAAUUUUAUCAUUUUGCUGCAACUGCUUCUUAAGCUCCCUAUUUUAUGGGAUCAAAUCACAUUUUCUUUUUGCCUUUUUAAGUAGUGUUAACAGUUCAUUGGUAAAUUUUGUGGCUGUGGCAAUUUAUCAAUUCUUGAAUAAAUGUUUUUACUGUUUUUCCAUGUGGAUUCAGUUAUAGAAAAGGAAAUUGGAGCAUUGCAAUUAGAAGUGCUAGAUGAAAUUGGUGUUGAUGUUGCCUCACAGUUGUUAGCAGCUCCCAAAGGAAGGAUUGCCUUGAAAAGAGUUGAUGCUGUAGACAGGUUAAGAAUUUAAUAGCUUGAUUUGGUUAUUGUGAAUUGGCUACUGCAAAUCUUUCUGGUCAACUGGUUCCACAACUUGGUCAGCUUUUAAAUCUGCAAUACUUGUAAGUCAUCUUGACAUGCAGGGCAAGUUGUUUGACUUUUUUUUUUUUUUUUUUUUUUUUUUUUUUUUUGUGUUGCAUGAGUUAGUGCCAGGAUAUGUCCACAUAAGAAAUAGACUUCACUACCCAUAAGAAAUUCUUAGGCUGCUUGUUAAACCCCCACCUCCUUGAUUAAUUAUAGUUGGGUCCUUUUCUCAUUUGAAGUUCAUCUCUGCAUUUAAUGCUGGCAUGGCUGGUAUUAUAGUUCUAAAGGGUAAUUAUGCCAAAGAAGCAUUUAUUCAACAGUUGGUAAUGAUUUCAUAUAUGCAAUUUGUUUUGUUGGUUCA